rnacentral:rRNA from 1 species
UAGGCGUAAAUGAUGCGAGUUAAGUGUGGGGGCGAUCUACGAGAUGGCCCUGUGCUGUAGGGUAGCCGUUAAACUCGCUGCCUGGGGAGUACGGUCGCAAGGCUGAAACUUAAAGGAAUUGGCCGGGGGGAGGCACCCACAAGAGGUGGAGGCUGCGGUUCAAUUGGACUCAACGCCGGAAACUCAUCGGGAGCGACAGCAGUAUGAUUGCCAGGUUGAUGACCUUGCUUGACAAGCUGAGAGGUGGUGCAUGGCGUAGUCGUGU